AUGGCGGGCCGGGGGCAGAGGUUUACCUGGGAGCAGAGGUUUAGCCCGGAGAAGAGAUCAGGCCGGGAGCAAAGGGCGGGCCGGGGGCAGAGGUUUAACCGGGAGCAGAGGUUUAGCCAGGAGAAAACAUCACGUCGGAAGCAAAGGGCGGGCCGGGGGCAGAGGUUUAACCGGGAGCAGAGAUUUAGCCGGGAGAAGAGAUCAGGCCGGGAGCAAAGGUCGCGCCGGGAGCAGAGGCCAGACCCGCCCAAAAGGUCCGGCCGGAAGAAAAAGGUCGGGCGGAGGAAAAGGUCUGGCCGCGAGCAGAGGUUUGGCCGGGAGAAAAAACCAGGCCGGGAGCAAAGGGCGGGCCGGGGCCAGAGAUUUAGCCGGGAGAAAACAUCAGGCCAGAAGAAAAGAUCAGGCCGGGAGCAAAGGGCAGUCCGGGGGCAGAGGUUUAACCGGGAGCAGAGGUUUAGCCGGGAGAAAAGAUCAGGCCGGGAGCAAAGGGCGGAGCGGGGGCAGAGGUUUAGCCAGGAGAAAAUAUCCGGUCGGAAGCAAAGGGCAGGCCGGGGGCAAAGGUUUCACCGGGAGAAAAGAUCAGGCCGGGAGCAAAGGGCGGGGCGGGAGCAGAGGUUUAACUGGGAGCAGAAGUUUAGCCCGGAGGAAAGAUCAAGCCGGGAGCAAAGGGCGGGCCGGGGGCAGAGGUUUAACCGGGAGCAGAGGUUUAGCCGGGAGGAAAGAUCAGGCCGGGAGCAAAGGGCGGGCCUUGGGCAGAGGUUUAACCGGGACCAGUGGUUUAGCCGGGAGAAAAGAUCAGGCCGGGAGCAAAGGGCGGGGCGGGGGCAGAGGUUUAACCCGGAGCGGAGGUUUAGCCGGGAGAAAAUAUCAGGCCGGGAGCAAAGUGCGGGCCGGGGGCAGAGGUUUAAACGGGAGCAGAGUUUUAGCCGGGAGAAAAGAUCAGGCCGGGAGCAAAGGGCGGGCCGGGAGCAGAGGUUUAACCGAGAGCAGAGGUUUAGCCGGGAGAACAGAUCAGGCCGGGAGCAAAGGGCGUGCCGGGGGCAGACGUUUAACCGGGAGCAGAGGUUUAGCCGGGAGAGAAGAUCAGGCCGGGAGCAAAGGGCGGCCCGGGGGCAGAGGUUUAACCGGGAGCAGAGGUUUAGCCGGGAGAAAAAAUCAGGCCGGGAGCAAAGGGCGGGCCGGCGGCAGAGGUUUAACCGGGAGCAGACGUUUAGCCGGGAAAAAAGAUCAGGCCGGGAGCAAAGGGAGACCCGCAGAAAAGGUGGGGCCGGGAGAAAAGGUCAGGCCCGCAGAAAAGGUUAA
rnacentral:lncRNA from 1 species